rnacentral:rRNA from 1 species
AUGACCAAGAGUCAUCGCGGCAAGCUCUACAUCAACGACGCAGGCUGGGGCCCCGAGGCUGGCUCAAUUGAGUACGGGUACCGGGUCCACUUUGGAGGAAUUCACGUCUUCAUCAGCAAGAUCGGCGAGCCAGGCCCUGAGCCGGACAUCUGCACCGACAUCGUCGAGACGGCUCAGCGUGCAAGACCCGCCCGAGUUCAGCCCGCCAUGAAUCGUGCCUUCGUGGGAUUCAUCCAUGGAGCGGAAUCUGAGGAUAGUUUGGUAUCUGGUGAUGAGACGGUCGUCUACUCUGAUGGCGAGUCGUCCACCGAUGAGACCGAAUCGUUGUAUCAACUACAAGACGGCCGGCUUGGGGGAUGCUCUGAUGGCGACAGUAUUCCAGACCCCUAUGAGCCGCCGAACAGGGUUGCGAUCUUCAUGCCCGAUACGCAGCCCGUGCAGCACUCGUCGACUGCAGCAGAGAUGAUUUCCGGGUCAGCAGCGGCAACGGCUGCCGGGGCAGGAGGCCCUGUGCGCCUACUGGCUCAGAUCUUAACUGACUUGCUGGAUAAGCUGACAGCAUUAUUAACAGCAGUGGUUAACCCAACGGAUCAGGAUCAACAUAAUCCGGCAGUCGCAAAGUUGCGUGAUGAGAUAGCACAGGCCAAGGAGGAGCUGAACGCAGAAAAUGCUAGGAUAGCCGUGGAGCGGGCUGCUUUGGAUGCUCAGGCACAGCGGAUUCAGUCAGAGUCUUUCCUGCUCAUGCUGGAUCAGAACGCUUCAACCGAAGUCAUGAGGAGAAGGCAUCAGACUUGCCUACCGCCGGUUUACGAGGCGAGAAAUCUCUUUAACACGCCCGGAGCAGGGACCAGUAAUCAGCCAGUGGUAAACCGGGUUGAAGCGCCCGUGACGGGAGCAUCGGCUUAG